rnacentral:rRNA from 1 species
CCAGACUCCUACGGGAGGCAGCAGUGAGGAAUAUUGGUCAAUGGCCGAGAGGCUGCACCAGCCAAGUCGCUUGAGGGAAUACGGCCCUACGGGUUUUAAACCUCUUUUGUCUUUGAGCAAAGCGAACCACGUGUGUUUCAUUGAGAGUACCCGAAUAAAAAGCAUCUGCUAACUCCGUUCCAUCAGCCGCGGUAAUACGGAGGAUUCGAGCGUUAUCCGGAUUUAUUGGGUUUAAAGGGUGCGUAGGCGGACAGUCAAGUCAGCGGUAAAAAUGCGGUGCUCAACGCCGUACAGCCGUUGAAACUGGCAGUCUUGAGUGGGCGAGAAGUAUGCGGAAUGCGUGGUGUAGCGGUGAAAUGCAUAGAUAUCGCGAAGAACUCCGAUUGCGAAGGCAGCAUGCCGGCUCCACACUGACGCUGAGGCACGAAAGCGUGGGUAUCGAACAGGAUUAGAUACCCCGGUAGU